rnacentral:piRNA from 1 species
UGGCUGUAAUUGCACACCACAUUCUGCC